rnacentral:rRNA from 1 species
UACGUAGGGUGCAAGCGUUGUCCGGAAUUAUUGGGCGUAAAGAGCUCGUAGGCGGCUUGUCACGUCGACUGUGAAAACCCGGGGCUCAACUCCGGGCCUGCAGUCGAUACGGGCUGGCUUGAGUGCGGUAGGGGAGACUGGAAUUCCUGGUGUAGCGGUGAAAUGCGUAGAUAUCUGGAGGAACACCAGCGGCGAAGGCGGCUCACUGGACCGGUACUGACGCUGAGGCGCGAAAGCGUGGGGAGCAAACGGG